ACUCUUCUCAGCCUGGGAAUCAUCAUGUGCUUGCUGACCUGCUCGGGCCACAUCGCCGCUGAAACUGCAAACAGCCCCUGCCUGUCUUGUCACGUGAUCUUUGUAUUCUUGCUUGUGAUACUGGAAGCUGCAAUCGCCGCCGAUGUAUUUCUGAAUAGCUACUGGGAGGAGGACAAAUCCCACCAGACUUGGCUCUAAUUGAAGUUAUCAUAAGAGUAAGCA